GUGCUCGCUUUGGCACCACAUGUACUAAAAUUGGAACGAUACAGAGAAGCUUAGCAUGGUUCCUGCACAAGGAUGACAUGCAAAUUCAUGAAGUGUUCCAUAUUUUU
rnacentral:snRNA from 1 species